UCUUGUCAGGUCUUGUCACUUGUCACCUCCGCCAGACCUCCGCUUUCGGUGCUUUCUUUUCGUUGUCGUCGCCAUAUUGUACUGGGUUCUAAUAAGUUUCCGAGCAAAUAUUUUGCAGUUUAUUGGUGUUAAGAGUGUUUAGUAAGAUUAAAAUGGCAGAUGAAAGCAAAUCUGAUAAAAUAGAAUCUGUAACGGAAAGCAAUGGCGGAAGUGGAGGAGGCCAAGAGAAUAGAAAUUUCGGUGGAAACCGGCGUGGAAGUCGUGGAGGAUAUACUCGUGGCGGAUACAACUCGAAUAGAGGUGGAGGUCCAGGAGGGCAUAGAGGUGGUGACAGAUCGGAGGGAAAUCAGGGUGGUGGAGGUAUGAGAAGAGGUGGUGGAAGGGGAGGGUUUCGUGGUGGUCCAGGAGGUCGAGGAGGUGAUGGGGACCAAGGAGGCGAUGGUGAUGGAAACAGGAGACCCAUGGAUAGGAUUCUAGAAAAGAUUAACACAUUGCAAGGACCUACUUAUGAAUUGCCCCCUGUUGACACGACGGAAAAGAAAUUUAAUGGUAGAAAUCGACUGUAUGUUGGAAAUAUAGGAUCAGAAGUGACGGAGGAGGACCUAACUGAACUGUUUAAAACUUACGGAGAAACAGCUGAAAUAUUUGUCAAUAAAGACAAAAACUUUGGCUUCAUCAAACUGGACUACCACAGCAACGCAGAGAAAGCUAAACGAGAGCUAGAUGGCAGCCUGUUAAAAGGCAGAAAUUUGAAAAUUAGGUUUGCUCCUAAUACUGCAACGAUAAAACUGAAGAAUUUGACUCCACAAGUAACUAAUGAGCUGCUGCAUUAUGCCUUCAGUCCUUUUGGUGAAAUUGAAAAGGUUCAAGUUUUAGUUGAUGAACGUGGGAAACCAACUGGAGAAGGAUUGGUUCACUUUGCUAAAAAGUUUUCUGCAGCAACUGCCAUUAAAAAAUGUCAUGACGGUUGCUAUUUUCUUACAUCUACUCUACAGCCUGUAAUAGUUGAAGCAUACGAACUUGUGGAAGACAUUGACGGCUAUUCAGAUAAAAAUAUCAACAAGAAACACCAUGAAUUUAUGAGCGAAAGAGAAAGACCUCCGAGACUAGCACAUCCAAAUAGUUUUGAAUACGAAUAUGGUCAAAAAUGGAAAGUUCUUUAUGAGCAUCACCAACAAAAGAAGGAUGCAUUAAAGAAGGAGCUUCAGCUUGAAAAAGAAAAACUAAUUGCUCAAAUGGCAUAUGCCAAGUACGAGCAUGAAACUGAGAUGUUAAGAAACCAGCUGAGGGCAAGAGAGUUGGAUAAGGAAAGACAGAAAAGGGAAUGGGAAAUGAAGGAAAGGUUGGCGGAGGAGGAAAGGUUGAGGCAAGAAGAGCUAAUGAGAAGAUCCCAGGCCGAUAUGGAAGCCCGUAUGGUAUCCAAUCAGGAUGAUAUAAGGAGAAGGCAACAAGAAAAUAAUCUCUUUAUGCAAGCCCAUAACCUAGAUAAUCUUUUGGACCAACAAGAACAAGCUUAUGAUCAACCGCCAUCUUAUUCAUCUGAAAAUUCUGGGCACAUCAGUGGUGGAGGAGUCGAUAUGGUACUCUGCUGUUUGAUUGAUUUCAUGAAGAACUUUGCAUACUGUAUUCACUGGAGCCUUGACAAGAGACUUGUGCAAAUGAUAACUUAAUAAAUAUGAAAAUAUGGAGACUGAAAAAAUAUGGAAAAUAGUAUUCAUGCGGUGUCUGUAGAAGUAAUAGAAGUCAACAUUGCAUUGGAUACUUAAACCUGGAAACCCUGAUAUAACAAUAGCCUAUAUUAGUUAGCUGCAAACUAAAGAAUCAAACUUUGGAAUGAAGUACCAAAGAAGCCUGCAUCAGUGAUUUGAUUACAUAAAUAUAUUAUAUUUUAUUAAAGUUUAUAAUAAAGCUGUCGAUCUGUU
rnacentral:misc_RNA from 1 species